CGGGGGCGGAAGAGCCCGCGUCGCUGCGGGUUGGGGGCGCCCACAAGCCAGGCCCCGCCCCUCCUCUGCGGAGACAGCUCCCUAGGUCCCCCGCCGGGCCGCGGACGAGGAGGUGGGGGUGGGCGUUGUGUGCCGGCCAGUCUCCCUCCCGGGCUGCAUUCCGUCCGCCCUGCGUUCCCAGCUGUGACCACUGGAGGAAGUGGCGGUGCUGCGAGAGACACGGCCACUGCCCCUCAGGCCCGACCUGCGAGCUCACCUGAACACCUGGAGUCUGAAAACACUCCGGCAGCAGCGUCAGGGCAGGUCUUUGGAAUCCUGAAAGGAGAUUUUACCAUCCCGGCUCUCCUGGACCCAGAAGAUAUGAAAGACCAAUUUUUGAGUGAGAUCCGAGAAGUCUUAAAGCUUACAUUAGGUCACGAGCAAUUCAGAUUGAAAUGGGUUGGCUUCGAGGUAAACAAAAAAUAGCCCAUGUCGGCUGCUCUGGAGCCUCCUCACACCAUCUUCUCUGGAUUCUGGGUGACUUUUAGUCUAUACUGCUAGUAGAUCGGAAUAUACAUUUGUUCCCGGCGUUUAGAAGUAAUUCCAGAUACACGAAGAGGUAACUACAGAGCUCCUCCUAGCGCGAAAGAAUACCACCUAUGAGGAAAACACUGGCCUCCCUGGGCUUUACAGAAGGAAAUGGGUAAGCAGAAGAAGAUGGAGGCAUUUGCGAACAGUAACCUUGAGGAUAAUUAGCAAACAAGAACAAAAAACCCCAACGAAACAACACAUCCUGAAAAAAACCACAUUAAUCUCCCUGGGGAAGAGAGAGGGCAGUAGUGGCUGAGAAGCUCAGGGAGGCCACACUUCCAAAUGAAGUGGAGGGCACUUUCUUUACCAGCCAUGAGCUAGUUCAGAGGCCUCAAGUUGUUCAGAUUGAGGGGCUCUCUCAGGGCACAUUAAUGGUGUAUUUGCCCUCCUCCAUCCAGUGGGAAGUUCUCCACCACACUGUUCCCAAAGUACAGACAGAACUUCAGAAGAAUGUUCCUGCACGCGUGUUCUUUCUGGUUUUUUGCCAGGUGUUCAGCAUCCAGAAACAUGCUGGCACUAAGGUGGUAAUAUGUCAGAUAUAGUAGCAACUUUAGUCUGAAAUGUUUAAAGUUAAAGUUUAUUUGUAUUCUUUGUAGGAAUAGCAAUAAAAGACCUCAAACGUAUCUAUAUCUGUACAUGUACA